GACAGAGGUGCCGAGCGUUAGGCGGAAUCACUGGGCUUAAAGCGUGUGUAGGCGGGUGCCUAAGUACCUUGUGAAAUCCCACGGCUCAACCGUGGAACUGCUCGGUAUACUGGGUGCCUUGAGCCAACUAGGGGCGACCGGAACAAACGGUGGAGCGGUGAAAUGCGUAGAUAUCGUUUGGAACGCCGAUGGUGAAAACAGGUCGCUGGGGUUGUGCUGACGCUGAGACACGAAAGCCAGGGGAGUGAACGGG
rnacentral:rRNA from 1 species